GUCAAAUGAUGCGUUUAAACCAUAGGUCAGUAUGGUGCCAUAGAAAGGUACUCGGGCCAUACAUCAGUAUGGUAUCAAAAAUAUGUUAUAAGUAUCAAGGUAAAUUAAACCAAAAGUCAGUAUGGUGUUAAAAAUGAGGUAUUUAGACUAUAUGUCAGUAUGGUAUCAAAAAUUGAUUCAAUGGUUAAUAUUAUUUGUUAGUACAUUACAAAGAAAAUAAAAAAUUCUUAAUCAAAUAAAAUAAUUACAAGCAAUUGUAAAAUUCUAAUAAUAAACAAAAGGUAUAUUACAUAAACAUCAAACUAUGUAACAAC
rnacentral:lncRNA from 1 species